rnacentral:rRNA from 1 species
UCGAACGAUGAAGCCCAGCUUGCUGGGUGGAUUAGUGGCGAACGGGUGAGUAACACGUGAGUAACCUGCCCUUCACUCUGGGAUAACUCCGGGAAACCGGUGCUAAUACUGGAUAUGACUCCAACCUGCAUGGGUAUGGGGUGGAAAGAUUUAUCGGUGGAGGAUGGACUCGCGGCCUAUCAGCUUGUUGGUGGGGUAAUGGCCUACCAAGGCGACGACGGGUAGCCGGCCUGAGAGGGUGACCGGCCACACUGGGACUGAGACACGGCCCAGACUCCUACGGGAGGCAGCAGUGGGGAAUAUUGCACAAUGGGCGAAAGCCUGAUGCAGCGACGCCGCGUGAGGGAUGACGGCCUUCGGGUUGUAAACCUCUUUCAGCUCUGACGAAGCNUUUGGGUGACGGUAGGAGCAGAAGAAGCACCGGCUAACUACGUGCCAGCAGCCGCGGUAAUACGUAGGGUGCGAGCGUUGUCCGGAAUUAUUGGGCGUAAAGAGCUUGUAGGCGGUUUGUCGCGUCUGCUGUGAAAGCCCGGGGCUUAACCCCGGGUCUGCAGUGGGUACGGGCAGGCUAGAGUGUGGUAGGGGAGACUGGAAUUCCUGGUGUAGCGGUGGAAUGCGCAGAUAUCAGGAGGAACACCGAUGGCGAAGGCAGGUCUCUGGGCCACUACUGACGCUGAGAAGCGAAAGCGUGGGGAGCGAACAGGAUUAGAUACCC